rnacentral:tRNA from 1 species
AAGAUAAAUCUGGUGUUGAACUUAGGCCGCUAACCUAAAUUUGAGUAGUUCAAAUCUAUUCUUAUCUUU